GUGCCAGCAGCCGCGGUAAUACGUAGGUCCCGAGCGUUAUCCGGACUUAUUGGGCAUAAAGCGAGCGCAGGCGGUUAGAUAAGUCUGAAGUUAAAGGCUGUGGCUUAACCAUAGUACGCUUUGGAAACUGUUUAACUUGAGUGCAGAAGGGGAGAGUGGAAUUCCAUGUGUAGCGGUGAAACGCGUAGAUAUAUGGAGGAACACCGGUGGCGAAAGCGGCUCUCUGGUCUGUAACUGACGCUGAGGCUCGAAAGCGUGGGGAG
rnacentral:rRNA from 1 species